GAAGUGCAGCGGUGGCGGCGGCUGGUUGCGGGCCGGCGGCGGGCUGGCGGAGAUGGAGGAUCUUGUUCAAGAUGGGGUGGCUUCACCAGCUACCCCUGGGACCGGGAAAUCUAAGAAUUGGAGAAAGAAAUUGAAGAACUCAAAUCAAAACCUGUUACUGAAGGAACUGGUGAUAUUAUUAAGAGUCUUGCUCUGUCGCCCAGGCUGGAGUGCAAUGACGUGAUCUCGGCUCACUGCAACCUCUACCUCCUGGGUUCAAGCGAUUCUCCUGCCUCAAGCUCGCAUUAACUGAACGUCUGGAUGCUCUUCUUCUGGAAAAAGCAGAAACUGAGCAACGGUGUCUUUCUCUGAAAAAGGAAAAUAUAAAAAUGAAGCAAGAGGUUGAGCUAUAAUGCCAUCUUUACUAAAAGCGAAAAAAAGUAAGUUGAUUUUCACACACGACUAAAUACCAUUAUCUCUUUAGUUCUACGGUAUUCAGAGGCAUUUCUUGCCUAUUUCUUGCCUAUUAGGUCUGGGCUAGUUUGAGUAAUAGAUUUAAUAUUG
rnacentral:sRNA from 1 species